CCGCCAGGUCCCCGGUCCAGAGGUGGGCUAGAUGCUGAGUUCCCGCAAGGUCCCUGUCCAGAGGUGGGCCAGAUGCUGAGUUCCCGCCAGGUCCCCGGUCCAGAGGUGGGCUAGAUGCUUAGUUCCCGCCAGGUCCCCGGUCUAGAGGUGGGCUAGAUGCUGAGUUCCAACCAGGUCCCCGGUCCAGAGGUGGGCUAGAUGCUGAGUUCCCGCCAGGUCCCCGGUCCAGAGCUGGGCCAGAUGCUGAGUUCCCGCCAGGUCCCCGGUCCAGAGGUGGGCCAGAUGCUGAGUUCCCGCCAGGUCCCCGGUCCAGAGGUGGGCCAGAUGCUGAAUUCCCACCAGGUCCCCGGUCCAGAGGUGGGCCAGAUGCUGAGUUCCCGCCAGGUCCCCGGUCCAGAGCUGGGACAGAUGCUGAGUUCCCGCCAGGUCCCCAGUCCAGAGGUGGGCCAGAUGAUGAGUUCCCGAAAGGUCCCAGGUCCAGAGGUGGGCCAGAUGCUGAGUUCCCACCAGGUCCCCGGUCCAGAGGUGGGCUAGAUGCUGAGUUCCCGCCCGGUCCCAGUCCAGAGGUGGGCUAGUUGCUGAGUUCCCGCCAG
ensembl:lncRNA